rnacentral:rRNA from 1 species
UAGGGAAUCUUCCACAAUGGGCGCAAGCCUGAUGGAGCAACACCGCGUGAGUGAAGAAGGGUUUCGGCUCGUAAAGCUCUGUUGUUAAAGAAGAACACGUAUGAGAGUAACUGUUCAUACGUUGACGGUAUUUAACCAGAAAGUCACGGCUAACUACGUGCCAGCAGCCGCGGUAAUACGUAGGUGGCAAGCGUUAUCCGGAUUUAUUGGGCGUAAAGAGAGUGCAGGCGGUUUUCUAAGUCUGAUGUGAAAGCCUUCGGCUUAACCGGAGAAGUGCAUCGGAAACUGGAUAACUUGAGUGCAGAAGAGGGUAGUGGAACUCCAUGUGUAGCGGUGGAAUGCGUAGAUAUAUGGAAGAACACCAGUGGCGAAGGCGGCUACCUGGUCUGCAACUGACGCUGAGACUCGAAAGCAUGGGUAGCGAACAGGAUUAGAUACCCUGGUAAUCCAUGCCGUAAACGAUGAGUGCUAGGUGUUGGAGGGUUUCCGCCCUUCAGUGCCGGAGCUAACGCAUUAAGCACUCCGCCUGGGGAGUACGACCGCAAGGUUG